rnacentral:lncRNA from 1 species
AUGGAUACCCCAGAAGGUGACCCCAGAGACCCCAAAUGGAGACCAAAGAGACCCCAGAGACCCCAAAUGUGGGGCUAUGGGGGGCAAUGGGGGGGUCUGUACCUCCUCCACCUCGAGGUCGAUGCACCAGAUGACCAGGUAAUUGGGGAGCAAUGGGGGGCUAUGGGGGUCAAUGUGGGUCUAUGGGGUGGAUAUGGGGGUCAAUGUGGGUCAAUGUGGGUCUAUGGGGUGGAUAUGNNNNNNNNNNNNNNNNNNNNNNNNNAUGGAAGGAAUGGACCCAAAAAUACAAGAAUCCCACCCAAAACUGAUGUGGGGCAGGGUGUGGGUCAGUGUGGGGUGAUGUGGGUCAGUGUGGGGUGCUAUGGGGCAGGAUGUGGGUCAGUGUGGGGUGAUAUGGGGCAGGCUGUGGGUCAGUGUGGGGUGAUGUGGGUCAGUGUGUGGUGCUAUGGGGCAGGCUAUGGGGCAGGCUAUGGGUCAAUAUGGGUUGCUAUGGGGCAGGCUAUGGGGCAGGCUGUGGGUCAAUAUGGGGUGCUAUGGGGCAGGAUAUGGGGCAGGCUGUGGGGUGCUAUGGGGCGCUAUGGGGCAGGCUGUGGGUCAAUAUGGGUUGCUAUGGGGCGCUAUGGGGCAGGCUGUGUGUCAAUAUGGGUUGCUAUGGGGCGCUAUGGGGCAGGCUGUGGGUCAAUAUGGGUCACUGUGUGGUGCUAUGGGGCAGGCUGUGGGGCAGGCUGUGGGUCAAUAUGGGGUGCUAUGGGGCAGCCUAUGGGGCAGGCUGUGGGUCAAUAUGUGGUGCUAUGGGGCAGGCUGUGUGGUGCUAUGGGGCAGGCUAUGGGUCACUGUGUGGUGCUAUGGGUUGCUAUGGGGCAGGCUGUGGGGUGCUAUGGGUUGCUGUGGGGCAGGCUGUGGUGCUAUGGGGCAGGCUGUGGGUCAGUGUGGGGCGCUAUGGGUUGCUGUGGGGCAGGCUGUGGGUCAAUAUGGGUUGCUAUGGGUUGCUAUGGGGCAGGCUAUGGGGCAGGCUGUGUGUCAGUGUGGUGCUAUGGGGUGCUAUGGGGCAGGCUGUGGUGCUAUGGGGCAGGCUGUGGGUCAAUAUGGGUUGCUAUGGGGCAGGCUAUGGGGCAGGCUGUGUGGUGCUAUGGGUUGCUAUGGGGCAGGCUGUGGGUCAAUAUGGGUUGCUAUGGGGCAGGCUAUGGGGCAGGCUGUGGGUCAAUAUGGGUUGCUAUGGGGCAGGCUGUGGGUCAGUGUGGUGCUAUGGGUUGCUGUGGGGCAGGCUGUGGGUCAAUAUGGGGUACUAU